CUGCCAGCUGACUCUCUGCCGUCACAGGCGCAGUUCUAGCAGUGAAUCUAACAGUCACCAGAAAUGGAUACCCUUUCCUCCAAUUCUUCCAUAUCAACCCUUAAAUAUCUGCAAGUUGUUUCCGGCUCUUUGCCCCACAUCACCUGCUCCCCCUACAGUACCAACAACAAAAACAACAACAACAACCACAACG